rnacentral:rRNA from 1 species
UGGGGAAUAUUGCACAAUGGGCGCAAGCCUGAUGCAGCCAUGCCGCGUGUGUGAAGAAGGCCUUCGGGUUGUAAAGCACUUUCAGCGAGGAGGAAGGUGGUGAGCUUAAUACGCUCAUCAAUUGACGUUACUCGCAGAAGAAGCACCGGCUAACUCCGUGCCAGCAGCCGCGGUAAUACGGAGGGUGCAAGCGUUAAUCGGAAUUACUGGGCGUAAAGCGCACGCAGGCGGUUUGUUAAGUCAGAUGUGAAAUCCCCGGGCUCAACCUGGGAACUGCAUUUGAAACUGGCAAGCUAGAGUCUCGUAGAGGGGGGUAGAAUUCCAGGUGUAGCGGUGAAAUGCGUAGAGAUCUGGAGGAGUACCGGUGGCGAAGGCGGCCCCCUGGACGAAGACUGACGCUCAGGUGCGAAAGCGUGGGGCAGCAAACAGGAUUAGAUACCCUGGUAGUCCACGCUGUAAACGAUGUCGAUUUUGGAGGUUGUGCCCCUUGAGGCGUGGCUUCCGGAGCUAACGCGUUAAAUCGACCGCCUGGGGAGUACGGCCGCAAGGUUAAAACUCAAAUGAAUUGCGGGUCUAGCUGUUCC